GACGUAGGGCGCGAGCGUUGUCCGGAUUUAUUGGGCGUAAAGGGCUCGUAGGCGGUUUGUCACGUCGGGAGUGAAAACUCGGGGCUUAACCCCGAGCCUGCUUCCGAUACGGGCUGACUAGAGGUAUGCAGGGGAGAACGGAAUUCCUGGUGUAGCGGUGAAAUGCGCAGAUAUCAGGAGGAACACCGGUGGCGAAGGCGGGUCUCUGGGCAGUAACUGACGCUGAGGAGCGAAAGCGUGGGGAGCGAACAGG
rnacentral:rRNA from 1 species